rnacentral:rRNA from 1 species
CGAAUUGCGAUAUGUAAUGUGAAUUGCAGAAUUCAGUGAAUCAUCGAAUCUUUGAACGCACCUUGCG